CGGGCACUGCCCCGUGCGUCAGGCAAGCGAUGCCCAGGGGCCUUAAUGGUACUCACCGGGAGCUGUCCCUGACCGGGAUCGUGGUCCUGGUCACAUGGCGCCCACCUGCACUUGCAGGCCCGUGAGGAUCCAAGUCCAACGGCGGAGGCGGUCCCGUC
rnacentral:other from 1 species